AUUGAACGCUGGCGGCAGGCUUAACACAUGCAAGUCGAGCGGAGAUGAGGUGCUUGCACCUUAUCUUAGCGGCGGACGGGUGAGUAAUGCUUAGGAAUCUGCCUAUUAGUGGGGGACAACAUUCCGAAAGGAAUGCUAAUACCGCAUACGUCCUACGGGAGAAAGCAGGGGAUCUUCGGACCAUGCGCCAAUAGAUGAGCCUAGGUCGGAUUAGCUAGUUGGUGGGGUAAAGGCGUACCAAGGCGACGAUCUGUAGCGGGUCUGAGAGGAUGAUCCGCCACACUGGGACUGAGACACGGCCCAGACUCCUACGGGAGGCAGCAGUGGGGAAUAUUGGACAAUGGGGGGAACCCUGAUCCAGCCAUGCCGCGUGUGUGAAGAAGGCCUUAUGGUUGUAAAGCACUUUAAGCGAGGAGGAGGCUACUGAGACUAAUACUCUUGGAUAGUGGACGUUACUCGCAGAAUAAGCACCGGCUAACUCUGUGCCAGCCGCCGCGGUAA
rnacentral:rRNA from 1 species